UCAUAUGCUUGUCUCAAAGAUUAAGCCAUGCAUGUCUAAGUAUAAGCUUGUUUUAUACGGCGAGACUGCGGAUGGCUCAUUAAAUCAGUUAUAGUUUAUUUGAUGGUCUCUUGACACGGCGCAAGCCGUAUCAUUUACUUGGAUAACUGUGGUAAUUCUAGAGCUAAUACAUGCGUAAAAUCUCGAGCGCGGGGGGUGGUCUUGGGGUGCAGGUGGCAACACUUGUGCUCCGUUCGGGCCAUCUUUGCAUGCGCGAAGGGAUGUAUUUAUUAGACACACACAAACCAGCAUUCUUUUACUGGUGAUUCAUAGUAACUCUUUCGGAUCGCAUUUAUAUCUUCCUUGUGGAGAUGGCGACAUUCAUUCAAAUUUCUGCCCUAUCAACUUUCGAUGGUAGGAUAGAGGCCUACCAU
rnacentral:rRNA from 1 species